GGUAUUCGUAUCCACAUAAAAAUAUACUUAUAAAAAGUCUCAGCACAUUUUCGGCACUCAGAACACGUUGUUUGGAAGGGAGUCCUUCUCUUCGAGACUUGAAGGAGUUUAUAGCCAGCGAGUUAAUUAAUGCAUUUGGCACGCGUCAACGGGUGGUAAUUGUCCUUAACGGGUAAUUGAUGCAUACGGAACACGCGACUCGGUUGUUAUCUUCGGUUUGGAAGUCGCAAUGGAGUUUGUACUGCAACUCUUAUUAGUUAUUCUUCUGUCAUGGCAACACGCCAUUGGCCACGACUGCAAGGACUACUUAUACUUGAUGCGAAGCUUUCAGCUGCAAGGAAACGUCAUCGAAACUAACCAGACUACCAAAUACGGUUGUCGACAGAGUUGUCAUAGCCACAAGGAUUGCUUUUCUAUCAACUACAAGGAAAAAGAGUAUCGAUGCGAGCUGAACGCAGCGACACACUUGUCACAUCCCCAAAUGUUAAGACCAGAAGCCAACGCAUUUUACGCGUUGAUUAAAACACCAAACCGCUGCAGUAACAAGCAUUGUUCGAAUGAAAAGAGAUGUACUCUGGUAGGAAACAAGGUGGCAUAUCAAUGCAAUAAAGAUUGCCCGGAAAAGGCUCUUGGUAUGGAAUCAGGAGCUAUUGGAGACUCAGCGAUAACUGCCUCAAGUAUUAAUCAUGACCUGGAUUAUGUGCCUCGGUAUGCUCGCCUUAAUGCGCCAUCAUCUGCUAAUAAUGGAUGGAUAGCUGGGCCCAUAGCUGCAGGAGAGUACCUUCAAGUUGACCUUGGACGUGUAGUAGCAGUCACCAGGUUGCCACUCAAGGGAGACGGAACGCACCCAUGUGGAUGAAAACUUAUAACAUCGGCUACAGCACUGAUCUCUCCACCUGGCACGUCUACCGUGAGGGAGGAAACGCCCAGUCACCUCAUAAGGUGUUCACCGGCAACUCAGAUCAGCACACGGUUGUUUACGGGUCAUUUGAAGAACCCAUUCAUGCACGCGGCAUCCGAUUCAUCGCGCAGAGCUGGAAAUGGCACAUAUCUUUUCGAGUAGAAAUCUACGGCAGAUGUGACAUAUAAUACGACUCUACACCACCUUGGAAAGGCAGAUGCAGUAUGAAACAAUAGACCAUGAUGCCAUGUAUGAAACAAAACUUUGUAAUUGCUUGCCUCGUGUAUUGGUGCUUUAGUUGGAAAGAAGCGGUCUUUACGAAUAUAUAUUUCAUCGACACCGUAGAACUUACUGUAGCUGCAGCAAUGUAUCGUCGAUAUAGCAGAAGUAUAAACCUUUUUUAGGCUACUUGCAUGAAUGCCAGUCACCUUCAUGCUAAUUGCAUGAAUGCCAGUCAACUUCAGGCUACCUGCAUGAAUGCCAGUCCACUGGAGGCUACUUGCAUGAAUGCCAG